AAAGAGGCUGAACAUAUAUUGCGGAGUCCUGAGAGACUUGGCCACAGCUGGAAGAUCGAGUGCCUGGAAAAGCCUGUAUAACCCCACAGCUUGCGUCUGAAGCAAAAGUCUCUGUAAAGUGAGAAUCCUUUCUUCCAUUUACAGAUAUACUUUGUCUGUGCCUGCAACGUUGUAUGAUGGCAGUGGAAAAAACAAUAGAAUAUCUCAAUGAAAAAAUCCCCAGAUUACUCUGUUGUAAAAGUGGGUCCUUGACAUUCUUCCUGUUCGGCUAGGAAGAUGCUGACAUCUGCUUUGUUACCUUUGCCUCUGGAGGACAAUUUGAAUAGCAGAGGCCUGCACGAGGGACAGGAAGCAUUAGCGUUCUGAGACACAUCACAUCCUAGAUUUCUCCCCACUCUCCUCUGCUGGUACUGUGACAUGCAGUGGACAACUGCUUUUCCAGUCUUUC